rnacentral:rRNA from 1 species
AGCUCCUUAUGGAGCGAAGUCUUUGAUUCCCCGCUGCCAAGAAAAGCUUCUAGCGAGAUAAAAGGUGCCUGUACCGCAAACCGACACAGGUAGGCGAGGAGAGAAUCCUAAGGUGUGCGAGAGAACUCUGGUUAAGGAACUCGGCAAAAUGACCCCGUAACUUCGGGAGAAGGGGUGCUUUCUUAACGGAAAGCCGCAGUGAAUAGGCCCAAGCGACUGUUUAGCAAAAACACAGCUCUCUGCGAAGCCGUAAGGCGAAGUAUAGGGGGUGACACCUGCCCGGUGCUGGA